UACAGAGGGUGCAAGCGUUGUUCGGAAUUAUUGGGCGUAAAGAGCUCGUAGGCGGCCUGUUGCGUCCGCUGUGAAAGCCCGGGGCUUAACCCCGGGUCGGCAGUGGAUACGGGCAGGCUAGAGGUAGGUAGGGGAGAAUGGAAUUCCCGGUGUAGCGGUGAAAUGCGCAGAUAUCGGGAGGAACACCGGUGGCGAAGGCGGUUCUCUGGGCCUUACCUGACGCUGAGGAGCGAAAGCGUGGGGAGCGAACAGG
rnacentral:rRNA from 1 species